rnacentral:rRNA from 1 species
ACGCUUGAAGUCAGUCAUGUCAGCUAGAAAUCAAGCUUGCUUCUGCAAGGUGCACUUUCUAGUUGGUAGGUCAGCAUCAAUUUUGACUGUUGGAUAAAGUCAUUGGGAAUGUAGCAUCUUUGGAUGUGUUAUAGCCCAUUGUUGGAUACAACAAUCAGGAUUGAGGAACUCAGCAUGCCCCCUUGGGGGUCAGGUUUUUAACCAUGUUCAUGCUUAGGAUGCUGGCGUAAUGGCUUUAAUCGACCCGUCUUGAAACACGGACCAAGGAGUC